GCAUGCCCUAACCCAUCCCCUAAGCCUUUUAGCCAAUCAAGAAGGGUUGUGACGAAGCUGCGCGCUCGGUCGAAGAGGACGACCAUCCCCGAUAGAGGAGGACCGUUCUUCGGUCAAGGGUAUACGAGUAGCUGCGCUCCCCUGCUAGAACCUCCAAACAAGCUCUCAAGAAGGGUUGUGAACCUUUGACCUGGACAAAUCCCAGGUGAGGGGCAGGUAUGACUACAUCAGGGAUAUAAGGAGGAGUCACUGUCAGCCAUUUUGUGCUCGAAUGU
rnacentral:snRNA from 1 species